ACGCGGCGAGGGACACGCGCGGCGCCCGACGCCGGCCACGUCGGCGUCUGCGCCGUCACGUGGCCAUACGCCCCGCCCGUUCGCCAUCUUGGGGGCGGGGCUUGGGCGUCGGUGUCCCGCGUUCGGCGCUUCCGCUUGGGGCGCGGGACGAGUUGUCGCCCGAGCUGGACGCCUGGUCCCGGUGGCAGCCCAGUCCGCCGGGGACGCAGAGGGAGUGUGCUCGUUUAACAGUGGCCUUGUUUCUGUGUCACUUUAAAUGUGUCUCCUGCCUCUGCUUUUAGGUGAUGCCACUUAGCACGUCGCCGGCGGCUGUCGCCGUCGUACACAGACACCCUGCGUGUUUCGCUGAGGGUCUGGAGGGGCUGCUCAUGUAAAAAUGCUGGUUUGGGCUUUUUUUUCCUUUUUUCCGUGGCGCCGUGGAAGGCGGCUUGGGUGGACAGACCUGCAGGAGUCUGUCCUCCUCCGCUCCAGCAGGACGCGAAGGGCACGUGCCCCGACUCAGGAGCACCCCCCCCCCGCACUUACCAGUGACAAAGGGGAAAAGUAAGGUGGUGGUGGCCCCCCGUCACCCAGGGGGCGAAGUUAACAUCGCUAAUAAUGACAGCGACAUCACAGACCUGCUGGGACGUGCUGAGAGGGGCACAGUCUGAUCUUGAGCUUACCACUGGACAGAUGUGAAUCAAGGACAUUCUACAGAAUAACUGACAGGCUCCAGGAGUGUGUCCCAUAACAGACUGAGAAACCAUCACAGAAUGAGACACAGGAGGAAGAGCUGUUCAAAGUCUGAUGCAGUCCGUAGGGUGGUGGACGGGACAGGGAUAAUGCACUCUACUAAAUACGCAAUGUUGAUGUGGGUUUGAUUACAGAAGCUGGUAAAGUAUUGUGUAAGUGCUGGCAAAAAUAAAAGAAAUUCCAGGCUUUCAA